CACCCCAUUACUCUUACAGCAUUAGAUAUUUAUAGAGACGUCUCGCAUAAUAAUGACAGGUUUAAGUAUACAAAGCCGCCGUUAAAGACGUACGCGAAUGUCUAUCAUCACUAGAAAUGGAUCAAUUCGGGAACAAGCCGACGAUUGAGGGAUUAUGCCACUGGGGCCGCACGAUUUAACAAGUGUUUUCGGAAGGGCAACAAACGUUGUUAUGAUCUCAGCCGAUGAUUUACCAAAAAAUUUGGCUUCUCGUCGAAUUCUGCAAGACUUGAUUGCAUUGAGGCUUGCUUCAAUAUCUCUGACCCCAUUGCCAUCUGUGCGGUAGCAGUCGAAAGAACCGAGUCAUGAUUUUAUACACAUGCGUUUAUAUCUUUGGCUGUGUCUCCUAGGCGGGAGAGCUACCGAUGUGCUAACAAUAGCGUGGACGAUACGUGUGGAAGAUGCGUGGCUACUAGGCUGACUGUGUGCGCACUUUAUGGGAUUUGUGGCAUUGUCUUUGGUAAGCCUCAGGAGCUGGAAGCUGUGAAGCAGUCUUGGUUUAAUGUCAUCCAAAGGAGAACUUCUCGAUCUUCGGCCAUAAUUGCAAGUUCUUAAGCUGUUUCAUUCAAUAUUUUUAGAAUUACAGAUAAUCGCAGACGCUUGACCGGGACGCAGAUUGAAAUGAGCUUACAUAAAGGCAAAAGGAAACCUGGCCUUGAAAAAGAGUCCAAAGUAAUAUAUUAUAUCCUGCAAGACUGGCUAAACCCAUAUUGCGUUCACAUUUCUUUCCCCAAGAAGGCACUCCACUUCUUCGGCCCUUUGUUUAAUGUGACACGAAACGUAAAAAUGAAAUUUGACAAAUGGGGACAGGGAAUAAAAGCUCUAACGGCUAGCCUGUACACUGUGAGUCUUCAACCGAUGGCCUGACCCUGGUUGUAGCGACAAAGGCCGCGCCUUGGUCGACCUAACCUAUCGAAGCGAUCGAACAAGGAGACCGAGCUGUUUAAACGCAUGGCUGGAAACGCGGAAACCAUUAGUCAGAUCGCCGCAAGAAGCACGUUAGUUAGGUCCCACCUCUCCACAGGAUGCAGCCGUUAGUACUGAUAACGGAGUCAGCCCAUGGUCCACAUGAUCGGCGGCGCUGAAUACAAAAGACGGACGAGAAGGCUUGGCCACAAAGGACUACUGUUGUUAGAAGAAGGCUUGACCGACAAUUGAGGUAAGACGUAUUCGGUGAAAGCGGUCACGUCAUACGAAGUCGCUAGAUUUGGGCCGUAAAGGCUCUACGGAUGGAAGGCGCGGGAAACGUUGGACGACGACGACGACAAAUGGAAGUGCAAAAGCGUCAAGAUUGUUGUACUUGAUAAAAAGGUGGCCGGCCGGGAAACGUUGCAACAAGGACGUGAGAUGGCGCAGCGUGGAAGGCGCAGCCGCAAGGGGAAAACGCGAACCCAGCGAGUGUUGUGGCGGAGAGUGCAAACAAUAAACGGACGCUAGUUUGGUUAGGAU